UAUUAGUGUUGGGAGCUAGAAACACACGUAUAUUGCUGCACCUGCAGAUCUGUGUUACGCGACCAAUAAACGUUGGUUUGAUAGUGAAUAGCCGUCAUGCUGACUUGAGACUGUUUACAUUCUGUGUUUACGGGGACGUAAUGUCGCCACCACCGUCCGUCAAAAACCACAGUACUUACUCCCGGGGCAGCUGCAGGGGAGGCGCGCCUCUCCUCUGAAACACGCCGUCCACGAAGACGCCGUUCUUCCCGAGGCAGCGCAGCGAAAACCCGCACGGCUCCUCGAAGGUGAUCUGCAGGUGCCGCCGAGAGAUGAAGCUCGAGUGACCCAUGUUUAUAUCCACGGAGCCGUGCGACGAGUUACGGCCUACGGUCACUGUCCGCUGCCUCAUGACGAAAUCAAAGU